UUUGCUGUGGGGAGUCUGGUAUGUGUUCAGGGACCGGCAGCUGUGGUACCAUUGUGGCUGAGGAGAAAGGUGACCUGGAAACACAGACAUGUGGAAAGCUGUGGCAUGGGAGGGGACACCAGUGCACCUCAGACUGCCUUAGCAGUCAAGGGCCUCCUCCACAGCGGGGCUACCCAACCUCUCACCCUAGGGGACAUUCAUCAGGUCCUCAAGGAGGAGAAAUCUGAGAAGGUCAUUGAGCCUAGUGCUUCAGUCUUUCAGGUUCAUACUUAACCUGGACACUUUGUUCAAAAGGAGAGCCUGCACUGUAACAAGCUCCCCGUGCUGCUGGGCUGGGGCCACACUAGAUACGGAGGAUUUGUUCUACCCCUAGGAGUCAAGAUGAGAAACAUGGAACAGGAAGGUGAUGGGACGAGCCAAAGAUCAUACAGAGAGGCUGUCUCCAUUCCCAUGCCUGUAUUUCCAUCUGUCUCCAUCACCAGAAUUGAACUUAGCCAACAAUUUCUCAUCUGCUCCAAGUUAAGACAGCCCUCAAAAGGGCCAGUGUGGACCAGCUGGGACCAGAGUGCUGGGUCACAUAAAAUGAAAAUUCCAACAUGAACACAUUGUUUGCCCCAGGGAAUGAAUGAAGGCCCCAGAAGACAGACAGGUCUAGGGCCAAGACAUAGCUAUCCUCUCCCCCUCUCUGUUCUUAGAGAUAAUAAGUUUGAUGAGAAGAAACUGAACAAAUAAAUGGCAAGUGAGAAUCCUCAAGAAGUCAAAUAAAAAUCCUGGC